GGCCUCAUAGCCUAGUGGUUAGUGUACUAGCUCGCUAAGCGUGAGGUCGUGGGUUCGAGCCCCACUCGUGUCA
rfam:Drosophila ananassae strain TSC#14024-0371.13 Ctg01_20525, whole genome shotgun sequence.